UACGUAGGGGGCAAGCGUUGUCCGGAAUCAUUGGGCGUAAAGAGCGUGUAGGCGGUCCGGUAAGUCGGCUGUGAAAGUCCAGGGCUCAACCCUGGGAUGCCGGUCGAUACUGCCGGAACUAGAGUUCGGAAGAGGCGAGUGGAAUUCCCGGUGUAGCGGUGAAAUGCGCAGAUAUCGGGGAGGAACACCUAUGGCGAAGGCAGCUCGCUGGGACGUUACUGACGCUGAGACGCGAAAGCGUGGGGGAGCAAACAGG
rnacentral:rRNA from 1 species